GAAAUAGCUAUGAAUGGGAUAAGUAAUUAUUUUCAAAUCUCUUCAGGGAGGUAGAGUCUUGAUUGAAAGCUUUACCAGAGAUAAAAAUAAUGAAAUUCACCCAAGAGCUGCCUUUUUGAAACCUCAGUAGGGAAGGCCGGUGAAUACACCGUUAUCAAAUCAUGAGAUAAUCUUAUGAAUUCAUUUGUUCAUAGAUUAAAUAGGGUGGUACCACGAAUAUGCUUUCGUCCCUUGG
rnacentral:ncRNA from 1 species